UUUAUUUCAACAAAGUCAAGAUGGUGAACAAAGAGUAAAACCGAGUUCUCUUACUUAAUCAAAUAAAAAAGAACAUAACGAAAAUGAGAGUAUUAAUCUUUCAACAAAUUGACACUACUGUCACGACGAUUUGUUGAGAGGAGUAUACUCCCAACUAAAAUUAAAAUAAACACCGAAUAACGCUUUCAACACCCUUCUGUACUACCAAGUUCCUCUAACAUUUCUAACCCCAACCCUACAAACACAAUACCCACUUUUGAGUACACCCGAUGUUUCAUGUCUUGGCACUUUGUCGUUUCUAUGGUUAACCAACCGGUUUAGUGGUCGAUCUACCGAAGGACCUUCUCCCUUAUGAGACAGAAUCGUCCAAACAUGGAGAGCAUUUGGAGAACAUGCAUGUUGAAAAAUCAUCGAAGACAAAGGGAGGAUUUAGAAAAAGGGUUUGUGGAAGACGACCCCAAGGAUCUCCUUUCCGGUGUUGAUGAAAUGGUUGGGUUUUCGGUGAAGGCCUCUGUGUAUGAUGAGCACUCUUCGAAGAAGAAAGAAGUAGAGAGAAUGGAAAUUGGGGAAGGUGAACCAAUGGAUAGGCCUUCACGGUUGGUGAGAUUGAAUGAAGAAAAUGAAAAGGGAAGUACAAAACAAAUGGAGGCAA
rnacentral:lncRNA from 1 species